rnacentral:rRNA from 1 species
AGUGAACGCUGGCGGUAGGCCUAACACAUGCAAGUCGAACGGCAGCACAGUAAGAGCUUGCUCUUACGGGUGGCGAGUGGCGGACGGGUGAGGAAUACAUCGGAAUCUACUUUUUCGUGGGGGAUAACGUAGGGAAACUUACGCUAAUACCGCAUACGACCUACGUGUGAAAGCAGGGGAUCUUCGGACCUUGCGCGAUUGAAUGAGCCGAUGUCGGAUUAGCUAGUUGGCGGGGUAAAGGCCCACCAAGGCGACGAUCCGUAGCUGGUCUGAGAGGAUGAUCAGCCACACUGGAACUGAGACACGGUCCAGACUCCUACGGGAGGCAGCAGUGGGGAAUAUUGGACAAUGGGCGCAAGCCUGAUCCAGCCAUACCGCGUGGGUGAAGAAGGCGUUAGGGUUGUAAAGCCAUUUUGUUGGGAAAGAAAAGCAGCAGGUUAAUACCCCGCUGUUAUGACGGUACCCAAAGAAUAAGCACCGGCUAACUUCGUG